AAUAAGUGUAGUUUUACACUAUUCAUAUUCAACGUUUGACCGUUCGUCUUAUUUAAAAUUUUUUUAUAAUUAAUAUUUUUGUUGCUAUUAGAUGAUAAAACAUGAAUAUACUCCCUCUUGUUUUGGGACGGAAAUCCACGGAUAUCCACGGAUGCACUUAUU
rnacentral:pre_miRNA from 1 species